UUUUCUGAGGACAUGGAAGAGGGAAAGGGAAGGAGCUCAUCAUGACCCUGGAGAAACGCCCCCAGCCUCCAAGGGAAGUGCAAAAAGACUGAGCACAGUAAUACAUAGAUCAAAAGUCCUUAAAACUGUCAGGAAAGAAGUGAACUCGAGAACCCUUGGAGUGAAAAUAACAGUAUAUCAGUUUCAGAAAAGUUGCUGACUGGAGUCCUCGGGGUUAACCUGUUUGUGCAGGAGGAUGAUAAGGGGAUCACAUGUUUGCUUUAGCCAAUGAGGGCUGCGGCUGCUGCCCUGCUUCCCGUCACUAUUAGAUCUGUACCUCACCACAUAAGGACAAGCCUAAGAAAAUCCAGUUGCAGCACUAAAUUGUUCCAGAGCUACAGAACCCUUCACAGGAUCCCACUGACCAGGUUCUCCAUUCCAGUCAGAAGAAAGUCUGCAGUGGGGAGAAGAGCCAAGAGAGCCCACAGAACCAAUGAGCAAAGAAGAGGAUAACGGGAGAUAGCAAAGCCCCGGACAAAUAAAAUCCAGAAAUCUACAAUUUUGACCUGGCAGUAAGCCCUAAUUCCAGGUAGCUAUUUGGAAAGUAGAGUCAGUGUUGUCAGCUUAUAAGUCUCAUCCAAGUUAACAAUCCAGCCCAGUCCAAACAUAAUUCAGCAAUCCAGAAGCUAGUCAGUCAGUGAGGACUAAAAGAUCCAUAAUGCCCUGAAGCAACUGUGAUCCCUGCAGCAAAUUCCAUCUAUCUUUGCACUAACAUUGAACUGUUCCUGUAUUUAUUUAUUUAUUUUUUGCAAGUUUCUGAGUAAAAUUCAAUAGU